GUGAGUGUGGUGUAGUGGUUUGAGUGUUGGACUUCAACUCUGGAAACCAGGGUUCAAAUCCCCACUCAGC